rnacentral:rRNA from 1 species
UAGAUACCCUGGUAGUCCAUGCCGUAAACGAUGAGCGCUAGGUGUUGGGGACUUUCCGGUCCUCAGUGCCGCAGCAAACGCAUUAAGCGCUCCGCCUGGGGAGUACGACCGCAAGGUUGAAACUCAAAGGAAUUGACGGGGGCCCGCACAAGCGGUGGAGCAUGUGGUUUAAUUCGAAGCAACGCGAAGAACCUUACCAGGUCUUGACAUCCUGUGCUACACCUAGAGAUAGGUGGUUCCCUUCGGGGACGCAGAGACAGGUGGUGCAUGGCUGUCGUCAGCUCGUGUCGUGAGAUGUUGGGUUAAGUCCCGCAACGAGCGCAACCCUUGUCUUUAGUUGCCAUCAUUAAGUUGGGCACUCUAAAGAGACUGCCGGUGACAAACCGGAGGAAGGUGGGGAUGACGUCAAGUCAUCAUGCCCCUUAUGACCUGGGCUACACACGUGCUACAAUGGGCAGUACAACGAGAAGCGAACCCGCGAGGGUAAGCGGAUCUCUUAAAGCUGUUCUCAGUUCGGACUGCAGGCUGCAACUCGCCUGCACGAAGCUGGAAUCGCUAGUAAUCGCGGAUCAGCACGCCGCGGUGAAUACGUUCCCGGGCCUUGUACACACCGCCCGUCACACCAUGGAAGUCUGCAAUGCCCAAAGUCGGUGGGAUAACCUUUAUAGGAGUCAGCCGCCUAAGGCAGGGCAGAUGACUGGGGUGAAGUCGUAACAAGGUAGCCGUAGGAGAACCUGCGGCUGGAUCACCUCCUUUCUAAGGAA